UCCUACGGGAGGCAGCAGUGGGGAAUAUUGGACAAUGGGGGCAACCCUGAUCCAGCGACGCCGCGUGUGUGAAGAAGGCCUGCGGGUUGUAAAGCACUUUUAGUGGGGAGGAAAACCCCCGACCUAACACGUCGGGAAUUGACUUAACCCAAAGAAAAAGCACCGGCUAACUCUGUGCCAGCAGCCGCGGUAAUACAGAGGGUGCAAGCGUUGUCCGGAAUUAUUGGGCGUAAAGAGCUCGUAGGUCGUUUGUCGCGUCGAUUGUGAAAAUCUGAGGCUCAACCUCAGACCUGCAGUCGAUACGGGCAAACUAGAGUGUGGUAGGGGAGACUGGAAUUCCUGGUGUAGCGGUGGAAUGCGCAGAUAUCAGGAGGAACACCAAUGGCGAAGGCAGGUCUCUGGGCCAUAACUGACACUGAGGAGCGAAAGCGUGGGGAGCAAACAGGAUUAGAUACCCUGGUAGUCCACGCCGUAAACGGUGGGCACUAGAUGUGGGGACCUUCCACGGUCUCUGCGUCGCAGCUAACGCAUUAAGUGCCCCGCCUGGGGAGUACGGCCGCAAGGCUAAAACUCAAAGGAAUUGACGG
rnacentral:rRNA from 1 species